rnacentral:rRNA from 1 species
UACGUAGGUGGCAAGCGUUGUCCGGAUUUACUGGGCGUAAAGAGCGCGCAGGCGGUUGUGCAAGUCGCGUGUGAAAGCCCCCGGCUCAACUGGGGAGGGUCACGCGAUACUGUUCGACUUGAAGGCAGGAGAGGGAAGUGGAAUUCCCGGUGUAGUGGUGAAAUGCGUAGAUAUCGGGAGGAACACCAGUGGCGAAGGCGACUACCUGGCCUGUUUCUUGACGCUGAGGCGCGAAAGCUAGGGGAGCAAACGGG